AUUGAACGCUGGCGGCAUGCCUAACACAUGCAAGUCGAACGGCAGCACGGCAGUAGCAAUACUGUGGGUGCGAGUGGCGACGGGUGAGGAAUACGUCGGAAAUCUGCCCAGUCGUGGGGGAUAACUAGCCGAAAGGUUAGCUAAUACCGCAUACGACCGAGAGGUGAAAGCGGGGGACCGCAAGGCCUCGCGCGAUUGGAUGAGCCGACGUCGGAUUAGCUAGUUGGUGGGGUAAAGGCCCACCAAGGCGACGAUCCGUAGCUGGUCUGAGAGGGAUGAUCAGCCACACUGGAACUGAGACACGGUCCAGACUCCUACGGGAGGCAGCAGUGGGGAAUAUUGGACAAAUGGGCGCAAGCCUGAUCCAGCAAUGCCGCGUGUGUGAAGAAGGCCUUCGGGUUGUAAAGCACUUUUAUCAGGAACGAAAAGCGUUGGAUUAAUACUCUGACGUGCUGACGGUACCUGAGGAAUAAGCACCGGCUAACUUCGUG
rnacentral:rRNA from 1 species